UAUAAAGAUUUCUGCGAAAAAAAGGGGUAAUAAAGAAGAGCCUUUUCGAUUCAUUUUUGCAUAUAUACAAUCAUCCAUUCGUAUCAUCCGUUCUUGAAUAACCCUAUAUAUAUUGUAUUUUUCAGUUUUCCGCUCGAUGUCAUCAAAGUUGUUGAUUGUAAGAGUAAGCUGAUGGUUUUACAAGUGAAAUUGAUGGUGUUACGUCGUCGAGGGUAUGUGAAGUUUGGAAAAUUUCAGAAGGGCGUUUUGUUAUUGUAGGAUAUAACGCAGAAGAGAGUAAUGCUUUUGCCUCUUCCGGUUGAACGUGUGGGGUGAAUGUUGAUAGAUUUAUCACGCAUAAGGGAAUUGUUCUUUGCGUAGAAACGAUAUAUUUUUACCUUGCCUGGGGAGAUUAUUUUUGUUUUGAUGACAUUGUACACGAGAAAUUGUAUUUUUAAGGCGAAGGGGUGUGAAAGAUACUAGAGGGAAGUAUUAUUGUUGAAGAGUUGUAAUUGCAGCUUCGAGGUAAUUUUAAUAAUAAUAGAAAAGGAUCUUCCUGGAUCUCGGUGGCUCUCGAAGCAUGCACAGCUAUCGAUGCACAAAGCACAAUGGGGCUUGGAAUAGCCACGAUAACGGAUUUCUACGAUCUUUUUUAUCGGCUUGGACGUUUUCCCUGCAGCAGGAGACCGAGUUAAAUUAAGUGAGAACCACAUUGUGGAUGGUCCAAGAGUUUUGCAUCCCCUCGUAACCACACCGUUCCAUUCCAUCAGUCCCUUAAUCUCGAGCCAGCGAAUACCAAGUGGACGACAGCCACGAUUUCGAUCGACGUUGUAAGCGCGCGUGUUGCUGCCUCGUUCCAAGAGGAAUCGAGGCGGCCGAUCGAGGCAAGCAUCCGAGGCACUCGUUCUCGCCUAAUCAACGGGAUGCGACAAGCCAAGAAUUGAUCACGCAUCUCUGGCUGGCACCGGUUGUAUCCCCCGGUCGGCCGACAUCCGUUUUGGAUUAUUCAUCGAGAUACAUCGGGGACAACCUUCGAUCGGGACACGUCACGCGGUGGCAUGGCAACAUUUAUUUUCUGGUGUAUAUCGGCGACAAGUUCACUGACCAUUCGAUCGAAGUGGAAAACGACCGUAGCCGCCUUCGAUCUGCCCGCUAAGGUUUCAAUUUGGAUAAGAGGCGAGAGAAGACACGGCAGGAUUUGUAUUAUAUUGCAUCGUGAAACGAGAAUCCCGUGUAACGGAUCGGGAAGAAAUCGACACGCAAUUAUGGGUUAAGUCGUGU